rnacentral:rRNA from 1 species
ACGGUUACCUUGUUACGACUUAGCCCCAGUCACCAGUUUUACCCUAGGGCGCUCCUUGCGGUUACGCACUUCAGGUACCCCCGGCUCCCAUGGCUUGACGGGCGGUGUGUACAAGGCCCGGGAACGUAUUCACCGCGCCGUGGCUGAUGCGCGAUUACUAGCGAAUCCAGCUUCAUGAAGUCGGGUUGCAGACUUCAAUCCGAACUGAGAGAGGUUUUUGGGAUUGGCAUCCACUUGCGUGGUAGCAGCCCUCUGUACCCCCCAUUGUAACACGUGUGUAGCCCCGGACGUAAGGGCCGUGCUGAUUUGACGUCAUCCCCACCUUCCUCACAUCUUACGAUGGCAGUCCCGACAGAGUCCUCAGCAUGACCUGUUAGUAACUAUCGGCAAGGGUUGCGCUCGUUAUGGCACUUAAGCCGACACCUCACGGCACGAGCUGACGACAACCAUGCAGCACCUUCACAACCGCUAUUGCUAGCUAUGGCGUUUCCGCCAUAUUCGGUUGCAAUUUAAGCCCGGGUAAGGUUCCUCGCGUAUCAUCGAAUUAAACCACAUGUUCCUCCGCUUGUGCGGGCCCCCGUCAAUUCCUUUGAGUUUCACCGUUGCCGGCGUA